AGGACGAACGCUGGCGGCGUGCUUAACACAUGCAAGUCGAACGGAAAGGCCCGCUUGCGGGUACUCGAGUGGCGAACGGGUGAGUAACACGUGGGCAACCUGCCCUCAGCUUCGGGAUAACACUUGGAAACAGGUGCUAAUACCGGAUAAUAACCUUUCAUCGCAUGGUGUGGGGUUCAAAGUUUUUCGGCUGGGGAUGGGCCCGCGGCCUAUCAGCUUGUUGGUGGGGUAAUGGCCUACCAAGGCGACGACGGGUAGCCGGCCUGAGAGGGCGACCGGCCACACUGGGACUGAGACACGGCCCAGACUCCUACGGGAGGCAGCAGUGGGGAAUAUUGCGCAAUGGGCGGAAGCCUGACGCAGCGACGCCGCGUGAGGGAUGACGGCCUUCGGGUUGUAAACCUCUUUCAGCUCUGACGAAGCGCAAGUGACGGUAGGAGCAGAAGAGCACCGGCCAACUACGCGCCAGCAGCCGC
rnacentral:rRNA from 1 species